rnacentral:lncRNA from 1 species
GCGCGGAGGGGAUGAGUAGAGAAGGGGUGUGUGUGAAAGCUCAAAGCCCUUUGUGGGGCCUUGGGCCCCCGCGGUCUGGGGGCUGUGCUGGCCCUGACCCUGGAGAGAAAGAGGCUCAGUGAUGUCUUCAGGCCAUUCAUUAUGUGCAGGCGAAUGACUUUGUAAACCUAAGAAAAAAAGAAUCUGUUGGAGAAAGCACAUCCGUGGAUUUCUUUAAGAAUGUUACAGAUGUAGAUGAAUUGGCUUGGGAAAGAGAGCACAGUCCUGUAGGGCCUGGCCACCCCGUGGAUGGAGCUGGACAGAUGGACCCCACAGGAAGGUUCUUGAAUGGCCUCUCUCCUGACACAUAAGGGAAAUUACAGGCAGAUCUGAAACCAAGUUUGGAUUUAAGUCAUUAAGAAAUCCCCCACAGGAAUGGAAUAAAUGCCUAAUUUCAGAUUUUGAGGUUUUUUUGGGUUUUGUUUUGCCUAUGUCUUGAGUGUCAGCCUCUUCUCCAGCUGAAACCCUGAACUGUCGCCACACCCCUAUGCAAGGCACUCUCCUGCAAGGAAAGCAAAACAAUAGCAGAGUAGGAAAGGAGACUGAGCCCCUUGUAUCCCAUCCCAGUGAACAAGUAGACUUUGAGAAAGACUUCUGUAUCACACACAAGCAGGUGAGCUAUAUUAUUGUCAAGGCACCUGAAAGCUGGAAGCUCCAGGCAAGGUGAGGAAAUAAUAAUAAUGUAAGUGAAGAAUAUAGAUCACAUCCUGGAGGUAUCUUUGCUGCAAAUGAUAACUUUUGAGCAUCUCCAACACAGGUCAUCAUGAUUUUGUGAUUUUGAAUUGUGGGGUUUUAGUUUUCUGUCUUUUACUCUAGGGUGCAAUUAACCCUAUUUCAUGAAAAAAACAAAACAAACAACACAACAACUUAGCUCUUGUGUCGAACUUUCCCCCCCAUGUCUCAAGAAGCUCAAGGUCAUCAGAAAAUUAGAGAUGUUAAGCUUUACAAACACCUGCAAUGAAACCACAUGUAUUUACAGUUGAAGGUUAAGACAUCGAACCUUAGGAGGUACACUGGGUUUUGAAAGUGACAUGUAAUGCCUUCCAGAUCUGCUUGGAUUUCUUUCCAGAAGCAUUUUGAGGGACUUAAUUCCUUGGUAUUUUAU